CAGCACCUCAAGUGGUCAGGAUGAUUAUUGGGCCUAAAGCAUCCGUAGCCGGCGCUGUAAGUUUUCGGUUAAAUCUGUACGCUCAACGUACAGGCUGCCGGGAAUACUGCAGCGCUAGGGAGUGGGAGAGGUAGAUGGUACUCGGUAGGAAGGGGUAAAAUCCUUUGAUCUAUUGAUGACCACCUGUGGCGAAGGCGGUCUACCAGAACACGUCCGACGGUGAGGGAUGAAAGCUGGGGGAGCAAACCGGAUUAGAUACCCGAGUAGUCC
rnacentral:rRNA from 1 species